UACGUAGGGGGCAAGCGUUGUCCGGAUUUAUUGGGCGUAAAGGGCGCGUAGGCGGCCUGGCGCGUCGGCUGUGAAAUCUCCCGGCUCAACUGGGAGGGGACGGCCGAUACGGCUGGGCUUGAGCGAGGUAGGGGAGAGUGGAAUUCCCGGUGUAGCGGUGAAAUGCGCAGAUAUCGGGAAGAACACCCGUGGCGAAGGCGGUUCUCUGGGACGGUACUGACGCUGAGACGCGAAAGCGUGGGGAGCGAACAGG
rnacentral:rRNA from 1 species